rnacentral:rRNA from 1 species
UUGAUCUCAAAUCAGGUAGGACUACCCGCUGAACUUAAGCAUAUCAAUAAGCGGAGGAAAAGAAACUAACAAGGAUUCCCCUAGUAACUGCGAGUGAAGCGGGAAGAGC